GGGGCUGUAGGCUAGCUUGGUCCAGACUGCCAGGCUCGGGCCCUGGUGACCCCGGUCCGAAUCCGGGCAGCCCCACCA
rnacentral:tRNA from 1 species